UACGGAGGGUGCGAACGUUAAUCGGAAUCACUGGGCGUAAAGCGCGCGUAGGCGGUCUGUUAAGUGGGAUGUGAAAUCCCCGGGCUUAACCUGGGAAUUGCAUUUCAAACUGGCCGACUAGAGUACGGUAGGGGGAGGUAGAAUUUCCUGUGUAGCGGUGAAAUGCGUAGAUAUAGGAAGGAAUACCAGUGGCGAAGGCGGCCUCCUGGAUCGAUACUGACGCUGAGGCGCGAAAGCGUGGGGAGCAAACAGG
rnacentral:rRNA from 1 species